rnacentral:rRNA from 1 species
GUGCCAGCAGCCGCGGUAAUACGUAGGUGGCAAGCGUUGUCCGGAUUUAUUGGGCGUAAAGCGAGCGCAGGCGGUUUCUUAAGUCUGAUGUGAAAGCCCCCGGCUCAACCGGGGAGGGUCAUUGGAAACUGGGAGACUUGAGUGCAGAAGAGGAGAGUGGAAUUCCAUGUGUAGCGGUGAAAUGCGUAGAUAUAUGGAGGAACACCAGUGGCGAAGGCGGCUCUCUGGUCUGUAACUGACGCUGAGGCUCGAAAGCGUGGGGAGCGAACAGGAUUAGAUACCCUGGUAGUCCACGCCGUAAACGAUGAGUGCUAAGUGUUGGAGGGUUUCCGCCCUUCAGUGCUGCAGCAAACGCAUUAAGCACUCCGCCUGGGGAGUACGACCGCAAGGUUGAAACUCAAAGGAAUUGACGGGGGCCCGCACAAGCGGUGGAGCAUGUGGUUUAAUUCGAAGCAACGCGAAGAACCUUACCAGGUCUUGACAUCCUUUGACCACUCUAGAGAUAGAGCUUCCCCUUCGGGGGCAAAGUGACAGGUGGUGCAUGGUUGUCGUCAGCUCGUGUCGUGAGAUGUUGGGUUAAGUCCCGCAACGAGCGCAACCCUUAUUGUUAGUUGCCAUCAUUUAGUUGGGCACUCUAGCGAGACUGCCGGUGACAAACCGGAGGAAGGUGGGGAUGACGUCAAAUCAUCAUGCCCCUUAUGACCUGGGCUACACACGUGCUACAAUGGGAAGUACAACGAGU